UUCUACAACAACAAAGAUAAACUAACACUUUCUUAAACUAAAAACUACCAAAAAUAUAUAAAUUUCCCUUUAGUUAAACAUGUUAUCCGCGCGAAGCGCGGACAGCGGCUCUAGUAUAUAUAAAAUCUGGAUACUAGUUCUAUCCGAAUAAGGAACAAAACAAUAAUAUUUUAUUUUUUGGGAAUUGGACUGUAUAGCCACACAAAAAAUAUCAUAAUUAACUAUCUAACCCAAAAAAAAAAGUUCCUCCAUUAUUUAUGAAAUAUAUACUAUAUUACCCUUCUUAGUUACCGGUUAAUGAAAAAAAAAUACACUUCUCUUCUUCUUCUUUGAUUAUGAACUACCACCACUC
rnacentral:lncRNA from 1 species